GCCCGGGUAGCUCAGCCUGGAAGAACCCUUUUGGAAAAAGCGUUCACGGAAAAUUAAGCUUCACCAAAGAAAGCGGUUCUGGGUAAAUAGAGCACAGCACUCCUAAUGCUGGGGCCGGGGGUUCGAAUCCCCUCUCGGGCG
rnacentral:tRNA from 1 species